GACGAACGCUGGCGGCGUGCUUAACACAUGCAAGUCGAACGGAAAGGCCCUGCUUUUGUGGGGUGCUCGAGUGGCGAACGGGUGAGUAACACGUGAGUAACCUGCCCUUGACUUUGGGAUAACUUCAGGAAACUGGGGCUAAUACCGGAUAGGAGCUCCUGCUGCAUGGUGGGGGUUGGAAAGUUUCGGCGGUUGGGGAUGGACUCGCGGCUUAUCAGCUUGUUGGUGGGGUAGUGGCUUACCAAGGCUUUGACGGGUAGCCGGCCUGAGAGGGUGACCGGGCAAAAUUGGAAUGGGAAAAGGGCCAAAACCCCAAGGGGGGGAAGAGGGGGGAAAAAUGGAACAAGGGCGGAAGCCUGAUGCAGCAACGCCGCGUGCGGGAUGACGGCCUUCGGGUUGUAAACCGCUUUCGCCUGUGACGAAGCGUGAGUGACGGUAAUGGGUAAAGAAGCACCGGCUAACUACGUG
rnacentral:rRNA from 1 species